GUGGGUAGUUUGACUGGGGCGGUCUCCUCCUAAAGAGUAACGGAGGAGCACGAAGGUUGGCUAAUCCUGGUCGGACAUCAGGAGGUUAGUGCAAUGGCAUAAGCCAGCUUGACUGCGAGCGUGACGGCGCGAGCAGGUGCGAAAGCAGGUCAUAGUGAUCCGGUGGUUCUGAAUGGAAGGGCCAUCGCUCAACGGAUAAAAGGUACUCCGGGGAUAACAGGCUGAUACCGCCCAAGAGUUCAUAUCGACGGCGGUGUUUGGCACCUCGAUGUCGGCUCAUCACAUCCUGGGGCUGAAGUAGGUCCCAAGGGUAUGGCUGUUCGCCAUUUAAAGUGGUACGCGAGCUGGGUUUAGAACGUCGUGAGACAGUUCGGUCCCUAUCUGCCGUGGGCGCUGGAGAACUGAGGGGGGCUGCUCCUAGUACGAGAGGACCGGAGUGGACGCAUCACUGGUGUUCGGGUUGUCAUGCCAAUGGCACUGCCCGGUAGCUAAAUGCGGAAGAGAUAAGUGCUGAAAGCAUCUAAGCACGAAACUUGCCCCGAGAUGAGUUCUCCCUGAGACUUUAGGUCUCCUGAAGGAACGUUGAAGACGACGACGUUGAUAGGCCGGGU
rnacentral:rRNA from 2 species